CUACAGCUUUCUUGGGAUACGUCCUUCCGUAUGGGCAAAUGUCAUUAUGAGCUGCUACAGUUAAAAAGGCGAAGUAAUAGCUGUAGUAAAAUACCACUAAUUGCUGGAAACUCUUAAAAGACAAUCAGCAGGAACCUAUAUUAAAUAUAGCGCAGCUGUAUAUAACGAAUUCAACUUUUGGUUCUUCAGAGACUAUACGUGGUACAUUUUUUUAAUAAAAGUAAAAGCAUUUAAAUAAGUUUUAUAAAAGUAAUUAUAUUGUUAAAAAGAUGAAGAUAUAGUCCGAUCCGUUAACGAGAGUUAGCG
rfam:Stemphylium lycopersici strain CIDEFI 216 C28088, whole genome shotgun sequence.